UACGUAGGCAGCGAGCGUUGUUCGGAGUUACUGGGCGUAAAGGGUGUGUAGGCGGUCUUCUAAGUCUGGUGUGAAAUCUCCCGGCUCAACUGGGAGGGUGCGCCGGAAACUGGGAGGCUAGAGUGCGGGAUGGGAGAGUGGAAUUCCUGGUGUAGCGGUGAAAUGCGCAGAUAUCAGGAGGAACACCGGUGGCGAAGGCGGGUCUCUGGGCCGUAACUGACGCUGAGGAGCGAAAGCGUGGGGAGCGAACAGG
rnacentral:rRNA from 1 species